CUUGUACCACGAACAUGCAAAGUUACUCAACAAGCUGUUCCAUAAUUACGAUGAAAUAUCUCGACCUUCACCUGGUUCCCAAUAUCCUGUCAAUGUCACUCUGGGAAUCGCAGUCGCACAGUUAGUCAAAGUGGUUAGUAAAAACUGUUUAUUCAAAUUUCCACUGAUGUGAAAUAGUUGAAUCCAUCUUGUCUUCUGUUGUGUAAUU